AUUGAACGCUGGCGGCAUGCCUUACACAUGCAAGUCGAACGGUAACAGGUCUUCGGAUGCUGACGAGUGGCGAACGGGUGAGUAAUACAUCGGAACGUGCCCGAGAGUGGGGGAUAACGAGGCGAAAGCUUUGCUAAUACCGCAUACGAUCUCAGGAUGAAAGCAGGGGACCGCAAGGCCUUGCGCUCACGGAGCGGCCGAUGGCAGAUUAGGUAGUUGGUGGGAUAAAAGCUUACCAUGCCGACGAUCUGUAGCUGGUCUGAGAGGACGACCAGCCACACUGGGACUGAGACACGGCCCAGACUCCUACGGGAGGCAGCAGUGGGGAAUUUUGGACAAUGGGCGCAAGCCUGAUCCAGCCAUGCCGCGUGCAGGAUGAAGGCCUUCGGGUUGUAAACUGCUUUUGUACGGAACGAAAAGACUCUGGUUAAUACCUGGGGUCCAUGACGGUACCGUAAGAAUAAGCACCGGCCAACUACGUGCCAGCAGCCGCGGUAAGAC
rnacentral:rRNA from 1 species